rnacentral:rRNA from 1 species
AGCAGCCGCGGUAAUUCCAGCUCCAAUAGCGUAUAUUAAAAUUGUUGCAGUUAAAAAGCUCGUAGUUGAAUUUCGGGAUCAAUACGUCGGUCGUGCUUAGGUACGUACUGGCGUAAUUGAUUUCUCCCUUCUGACGAACCAUGAUGUCAUUAACUUGGUGUCAUGGGAAAUCAGGACUGUUACUUUGAAAAAAUUAGAGUGUUUAAAGCAGGCUCACGCUUGAAUACAUUAGCAUGGAAUAAUGAAAUAGGACGUUCGAUCCUAUUUUGUUGGUUUUUAGGAUCAACGUAAUGAUUAAUAGGGAUAGUUGGGGGCAUUAGUAUUCAAUUGUCAGAGGUGAAAUUCUUGGAUUUAUUGAAGACUUAACUACUGCGAAAGCAAUUUGCCAAGGAUUGUUUUCAUUAAUCAAAGAACGAAAGUUAGGGGAUCGAAGACGAUCAAGAUACCGUGUAGUCUUAAUCAAUAAACUAUGACCGACUAGGGAUCGGAUGUAUUGUUAAAUUUUUAANGUACUCAUUCG